GGGUGGUGUUCUCGAAGCUAUCUUAGGAUUAGGACGUGUCCUAAGACCAUCUUACGACAAGUCUUUGUCCUAAGUCGUGUUCUCGAAGCUCUCUUAACUAAGAAUAUAUCACAUUUUUCGUCCCAACUUUAGGACACCUAAUUAGGUGUCUUAAGAUCAUCAUAUCUUCAUCCUAACUUUUUGCAUGCUUUUUUCUCAAUUUUUUACGUGAAGAUGAACAUGAAAUGAAACGCACCAUCAGUUAUUAACUCGUAUACAGAAAUUGUGCAUGAUUUUAAACUUUGAACUUCGUGUUUUACGAUACGAUGACACUACGAAUUCAAUAUUCUCAUUUCAAAACAAAUUGUUUUCCAGUUUAAAUCACGAUCCUUUUUGAUAUUAUUUUAUAAUUACAUUUGAAAUCAUGCAUUUAAUUAAAUACAUGUUAUUACAAAAUUGCGUAAACAAUUUUAUCAUAUGGUUUCGUCUUUAAUAAAUAUUUUAUCAAACAAUUACUUUAACUAUUUAGAAUUUCGCAAAUAGGAUAUGUUUAGGACGUCUUAACAUAAGAUGUGUCUGAGAUAGCUUCGAGACACAACUUAAUAGUGCCCUAAGUCGAUCCUAAGUCCAUCCUAAAAUUGGUCUUAUCUAUGACUUAGGUCGAAUCUUAGGAUACUUUCGAGAACACCACCCCAGAUGUUUA
rnacentral:lncRNA from 1 species